AAUAGAUACCCGGGUAGUCCACGCCGUAAACGAUGAGUGCUAAGUGUUAGAGGGUUUCCGCCCUUUAGUGCUGCAGCUAACGCAUUAAGCACUCCGCCUGGGGAGUACGGUCGCAAGACUGAAACUCAAAGGAAUUGACGGGGGCCCGCACAAGCGGUGGAGCAUGUGGUUUAAUUCGAAGCAACGCGAAGAACCUUACCAGGUCUUGACAUCCUCUGACAACUCUAGAGAUAGAGCGUUCCCCUUCGGGGGACAGAGUGACAGGUGGUGCAUGGUUGUCGUCAGCUCGUGUCGUGAGAUGUUGGGUUAAGUCCCGCAACGAGCGCAACCCUUGAUCUUAGUUGCCAGCAUUUAGUUGGGCACUCUAAGGUGACUGCCGGUGACAAACCGGAGGAAGGUGGGGAUGACGUCAAAUCAUCAUGCCCCCUUAUGACCUGGGCUACACACGUGCUACAAUGGAUGGUACAAAGGGCUGCAAGACCGCGAGGUCAAGCCAAUCCCAUAAAACCAUUCUCAGUUCGGAUUGUAGG
rnacentral:rRNA from 1 species